UACGUAGGCAGCGAGCGUUGUUCGGAGUUACUGGGCGUAAAGGGUGUGUAGGCGGUUCUUUAAGUUUGGUGUGAAAUCUCCCGCUCAACCGGGAGGGUGCGCCGAAUACUGAGGGACUUGGAGUGCGGGAGAGGAAAGUGGAAUUCCUGGUGUAGCGGUGAAAUGCGUAGAUAUUGGGAGGAACACCGGUGGCGAAGGCGGCU
rnacentral:rRNA from 1 species